AGUGAACGCUGGCGGUAGGCCUAACACAUGCAAGUCGAACGGCAGCACAGUAAGAGCUUGCUCUUACGGGUGGCGAGUGGCGGACGGGUGAGGAAUACAUCGGAAUCUACUUUUUCGUGGGGGAUAACGUAGGGAAACUUACGCUAAUACCGCAUACGACCUACGGGUGAAAGCAGGGGAUCUUCGGACCUUGCGCGAUUGAAUGAGCCGAUGUCGGAUUAGCUAGUUGGCGGGGUAAAGGCCCACCAAGGCGACGAUCCGUAGCUGGUCUGAGAGGAUGAUCAGCCACACUGGAACUGAGACACGGUCCAGACUCCUACGGGAGGGAGCAGGGGGGAAUAUUGGACAAUGGGGGGAAGCCUGAUCCAGGCAAACCGGGUGGGGGAAGAAGGGCUUCGGGUUGGAAAGCCCUUUUGUUGGGAAAGAAAAACAGGAGGAUAAAACCCCGCUGUUCUGAAGGGAACCAAAGAAUAAGGACCGGCUAACUUCGUG
rnacentral:rRNA from 1 species